rnacentral:rRNA from 1 species
UACGUAGGCAGCGAGCGUUGUUCGGAAUUACUGGGCGUAAAGAGUGUGUAGGCGGUGCUCCCAGUCUGUUGUGAAAUCUCCCGGCUUAACUGGGAGGGUGCAGCGGAAACUAGAGUGCUAGAGGGUGGGAGAGGUAAGCGGAAUUCCUGGUGUAGCGGUGAAAUGCGUAGAUAUCAGGAGGAACACCUGUGGUGUAGACAGCUUACUGGACCACUUCUGACGCUGAGGCACGAAAGCGUGGGUAGCAAACAGG